CUUUGCAAAUGUCUGUUAAAAGCCUAGGAUCACUACAUCAGAGUGAAAUACCAACCAUUAACGACAGCUAGAGUCACUCUUCAGUCAGGAACAAAUGGAUCAUGGACAAAGAGAGUUCUGAAAAAAAGCAAUAAACGAAGACACCAAUUCUCAAGUCCCUGUGAUGAAAAAGGAACAUUUCUUCAAAUAUGGUUAUAAAGCUUAUAUGACCAUAGUCCAGUCUACACUAGUUGUUACUAAAUGUGACUUUACAUAUUUUUAAUUUCAUCCACUAAGUGUUGAAUUCUUUUUUUUUUUCACUCACAAAGGCUACCUGAUUUUAUUUCCAACUCUUUCAAAAAGAAGGGCUCAGGAAGGCUUCUUACAGUACCUGCACCUGUCACAGACAAUCUUUAGCCAUAUGAAAAUCUUUUAGUUCCUAUAAUCGGAUUUACUUUGGAAGACACCUUGUCUCAGCUGCUGUCAACAUUGCCAUCUGACUGAUCUUUCUCCAUGUAAGCUGCAAGUGUGCCAAUGAGAGGACUUUUAGACCAAAGCAGUAGCCUGAAUUGCUGAAAAGAUAUCAGGCUUAACAAGAAAGCAAGAUGGGGCUUAGUUCUCUGUGAGGAAAUUCUGCAAGAUAUUAAUAGUUGACCCUUACUAAGAAGAUUCCAGAGUCAGAAUCUUGGGAAGCCUGAUUAAAACAAAGCUACAUAAUUCUGUGUGCAAACAUGUGUCUGAAAUUUCUUAAGAGAAGACAAAGUAUUAUCACAUACUAUGUCAGCAAUUUGACCAUGGAAUUCUUUUCUUGUACAAUACCCACUAAUGGCCAAUGGAACGAAAAUUUGGGACACACAGCCAAAAUUAAAUACUCACAUUCAUAUAUAAAUACAAAAAUCAAUUACAGUAAUAUAUAAAAUGCUUUGGAUCUUCCUUAUUACUGUUCUCUAAUUCAGAAAAUUAUAGAGUUGAUUGGAAGUGCAUAUCUUAGUAGGGAAAUAAUAACAAUAAUCAUAAUUAUAAUAAGUGAUAGUAA